AUCCAGUUGACCAUUCCCAAACAGGACGAAACGCGCGUCCUGCAU
rfam:Schistosoma mattheei strain Denwood, Zambia genome assembly, scaffold: SMTD_scaffold0002497